GACGAACGCUGGCGGCGUGCCUAAUACAUGCAAGUUGGGCGCUGAAGGUUGGUACUUGUACCAACUGGAUGAGCAGCGAACGGGUGAGUAACGCGUGGGGAAUCUGCCUUUGAGCGGGGGACAACAUUUGGAAACGAAUGCUAAUACCGCAUAAAAACUUUAAACACAAGUUUUAAGUUUGAAAGAUGCAAUUGCAUCACUCAAAGAUGAUCCCGCGUUGUAUUAGCUAGUUGGUGAGGUAAAGGCUCACCAAGGCGAUGAUACAUAGCCGACCUGAGAGGGUGAUCGGCCACAUUGGGACUGAGACACGGCCCAAACUCCUACGGGAGGCAGCAGUAGGGAAUCUUCGGCAAUAGACGAAAGUCUGACCGAGCAACGCCGCGCGAGUGAAGAAGGUUUUCGGAUCGUAAAACUCUGUUGGUAGAGAAGAACGUUGGUGAGAGUGGAAAGCUCAUCAAGUGACGGUAACUACCCAGAAAGGGACGGCUAACUACGUG
rnacentral:rRNA from 1 species